AUUGAACGCUGGCGGCAGGCCUAACACAUGCAAGUCGAGCGAGCGGCGGACGGGUGAGUAAUGUCUGGGGACUGCCUGAUGGAGGGGGAUAACUACUGGAAACGGUAGCUAAUACCGCAUACUAUCGGAUAACCCAUAUGGGAUUAGCUAGUUGGUGAGGUAAUGGCUAACCUAGGCGACGAUCCCUAGCUGGUCUGAGAGGAUGAUCAGCCACACUGGGACUGAGACACGGCCCAGACUCCGACGGAGGCAGCAGUGGGGAAUAUUGGACAAGGGGCGCAAGCCUGAUGCAGCCAUGCCGCGUGUAUGAAGAAGGCCCUAGGGUUGUAAAGUACUUUCAGUCGGGAGGCGUUACCGACAGAAGAAGCACCGGCUAACUCCGUGCCAGCCGCCGCGGUAAUAC
rnacentral:rRNA from 1 species